UUUUAAAAAUGUCUUUGAAAUAACAGAGGUUAAUAUCCAAUACAAUUUGUGAAUGUGUUGCAGUAAUAUCAGUUAAAACAAGCAUCUGAUUAAUGUGGCUUGGGAACCUCAGACAAUUUAUUGAGCUGCUUGCUGUUUAAAAUCUAUGAUACUUUCCCUCUUCUGUGCAGAUAUUGAUUUGAUAGAUGAAGUGGGGGUAAUUUUUCUUUUAGAGUGGUGAUGUUAAUGGUCAUUGAAUUUUCACUGACAACAGCAGUGAACUAUGUUUAUUAGGGAACUCUAGUAGUUGUUUAUUUUCCUUCUUUCUUUUGUUUGUUUCUCCUUUUUUCUUCUCCUUAUGAUUUCAGCCUUUCAAAGAUGAUGGAAAACAUUUAGAAAGGUAAGCCUGGAUUUCAGCUUGUCUUGUUGAAGGCAAGAUUAAUUAUAAAGAGGAAAGAAAGAUAAGGGACUUUUGUCUGGUUCUAUCAUCUUAAAAUCUUGGUCAAUAUGUGCUUUUGUGAUCAGUUCUCUAUUGUUUGAAAUUGUUUCCCUAUUGAAAUCAUUUCUCUAUUUUGCACCAGGUGCAUUCUAGAGUCCAUAGUGACAUCACGACAUCAUAUUACAUGAGUUAAGCUAACGGUGUCAUCUGGGAAAGGGUAUCUCUCGAGGCAAGGGAAAGGAGAAUGAUCUCAUUAUUGAAGAAGGCAAUCUUAUCAGUGAUGUGAAGAAUGGAUGGUUGGAGUAUGGAAGAUUGGAUCCAAAUUAAAGUGACUGAACACACCAGAAAAUUCUGUUAUGCUGAUAUGAUUGCCAUAGAAGGAAAGAAAAAAGAGGAAGAAUUAAAAAAACAAAGUUCUGAGAAGAGUCAAGGGGCUGGGCCUUCAAAGAAGAUAUGAAAAAUUGGCCUAUUAUUAAAAGCAAUGAAAGAAAAGGUGGGCUAAUCUAGGUAAGAUUCCAGGUUUGUUGAGGAUAAGAUUGAGACAGUGAAAAUAUUAAGUGUGCUUAGAAAAAGGAUAUGGGAAUGAAUGAAUGGACAGUUUUCAAUUGAUAUUACAAAAGUGUUAUAGCUAUUGAUAAACAAUCAAUGAAAUAAUAUGAAUAACAGGAUGGUCAGGCAAAAGUAAGAGUUUAACUGAGUUUGAAGAUAAGCACAGGUCAAUGGUACAUAUGCUCAUUCAUCAUUGUUUUGUGACAUCCUCCAGAAGUCCACAAUAAUAAGAUCAAAUAAGUGUCCAUAACUGGAAUUAUAAAAGACUAUCAGAUUGGCAAAAUAAUAGUUGGUAAAGUUUAUGUUGAAUGGCUGGUUGUAAAACAAUGACUUGAAAAAGAGAGAGGUCAUGCCAGAUUUAGGAGAUGGAGAAGAAUAUGGCAGGACUUGUACAACUAAAGAUCUCUAUUUUGGUAGAGAUAAAGAUAUGACUCAGUAGAAAUUUACAUAAAACAUUAUGAGGUACAGUCAAAGAGUGAGAUUUCAGAGUAGGUCAUCCAAAGAAAGUUUUCAACUGCUAAUUAAAUCUAUACUAUUAGUGCUUAUGUGAGUGACUUCAGCUGACUAAUAUGAAAGUCAGUGUUUUGAAGAAGUUGAAGAUAAUUAGGGCAGGGUGAGAGCAAUACCAAAAUAAACAAAAAGAAACCACACAUACUGUAAUUUUUCACAUCAAAAAGAAUUUUUUCAUGUUACUUUUAGUACUAACUGGGUG
rnacentral:lncRNA from 10 species